CUUGGUCAUUUAGAGGAAGUAAAAGUCGUAACAAGGUCUCCGUUGGUGAACCAGCGGAGGGAUCAUUACCGAGUUUACAACUCCCAAACCCCUGUGAACAUACCACUUGUUGCCUCGGCGGAUCAGCCCGCUCCCGGUAAAACGGGACGGCCCGCCAGAGGACCCCUAAACUCUGUUUCUAUAUGUAACUUCUGAGUAAAACCAUAAAUAAAUCAAAACUUUCAACAACGGAUCUCUUGGUUCUGGCAUCGAUGAAGAACGCAGCAAAAUGCGAUAAGUAAUGUGAAUUGCAGAAUUCAGUGAAUCAUCGAAUCUUUGAACGCACAUUGCGCCCGCCAGUAUUCUGGCGGGCAUGCCUGUUCGAGCGUCAUUUCAACCCUCAAGCACAGCUUGGUGUUGGGACUCGCGUUAACUCGCGUUCCUCAAAUUGAUUGGCGGUCACGUCGAGCUUCCAUAGCGUAGUAGUAAAACCCUCGUUACUGGUAAUCGUCGCGGCCACGCCGUUAAACCCCAACUUCUGAAUGUUGACCUCGGAUCAGGUAGGAAUACCCGCUGAACUUAAGCAUAUCAAUAAGCGGAGGA
rnacentral:rRNA from 1 species